rnacentral:rRNA from 1 species
GACGAACGCUGGCGGCGUGCCUAAUACAUGCAAGUAGAACGCUGAAGGAGGAGCUUGCUUCUCUGGAUGAGUUGCGAACGGGUGAGUAACGCGUAGGUAACCUGCCUGGUAGCGGGGGAUAACUAUUGGAAACGAUAGCUAAUACCGCAUAAGAGUAGAUGUCGCAUGACAUUUGCUUAAAGGGUGCAAUUGCAUCACUACCAGAUGGACCUGCGUUGUAUUAGCUAGUUGGUGAGGUAACGGCUCACCAAGGCAACGAUACAUAGCCGACCUGAGAGGGGGAUCGGCCACACUGGGACUGAGACACGGCCCAGACUCCUACGGGAGGCAGCAGUAGGGAAUCUUCGGCAAUGGACGGAAGUCUGACCGAGCAACGCCGCGUGAGUGAAGAAGGUUUUCGGAUCGGAAAGCUCUGUUGUAAGAGAAGAACGAGUGUGAGAGUGGAAAGUUCACACUGUGACGGUAGCUUACCAGAAAGGGACGGCUAACUACGUG